UACGUAGGGUGCGAGCGUUAAUCGGAAUUACUGGGCGUAAAGCGUGCGCAGGCGGUUAUGUAAGACAGUUGUGAAAUCCCCGGGCUCAACCUGGGAAUUGCAUCUGUGACUGCAUAGCUAGAGUACGGUAGAGGGGGAUGGAAUUCCGCGUGUAGCAGUGAAAUGCGUAGAUAUGCGGAGGAACACCGAUGGCGAAGGCAAUCCCCUGGACCUGUACUGACGCUCAUGCACGAAAGGCGUGGGGAGCAAACGAGG
rnacentral:rRNA from 1 species